CAGCGCCACGAGUGGCAACCGUAAUUAUUGGGCCUAAAGCGUCCGUAGCCGGUUUGGUAAGUCUUUUGUGAAAUCGUUGCGCUCCACGUAACGUUGUGCAAGAGAUACUGCCAGACUUGGAACUGGGAAGGGUCAGAAGUAUUCUGGGGGGAGCGGCAAAAUGUGAUAAUCCUCAGAGGACUACCUGUGGCGAAAGCGUCUGACUAGAACAGCUUCGACGGUGAGGGACGAAAGCUAGGGGAGCGAACCGGAUUAGAUACCCGAGUAGUCC
rnacentral:rRNA from 1 species